GAGAAAGUUAUGCAGCCCGGGUGUUGGUUGUCCCGGUUUAAGCGAGUAGGCGUGCCGCGUAGGCAAAUCCGCGUGGCUUAGCCGAGACGCGACGACGACUGCUCUUCGGAGCGGGAAGCUGCAGAUACUCUGCUUCCAGGAAAAGCCUCUAAGCUCCAGUCAUGGCGAGACCGUACCGAAAACCGACACUGGUGGGCGAGAUGAAUAUUCUCAGGCGCUUGAGAGAACUCUGGAGAAGGAACUCGGCAAAUUGACACCGUAACUUCGGAAGAAGGUGUGCCUUUAGUAGGUGAAGUCCCUCGCGGAUGGAGCCCAAUGAGGUUGCAAAAAAUCGGUGGCUGCGACUGUUUAAUAAAAACACAGCACUCUGCAAACACGAAAGUGGACGUAUAGGGUGUGACGCCUGCCCGGUGCUGGAAGAUUAAAUGAUGGGGUGCAAGCUCUUGAUUGAAGUCCCAGUAAACGGCGGCCGUAACUAUAACGGUCCUAAGGUAGCGAAAUUCCUUGUCGGGUAAGUUCCGACCUGCACGAAUGGCGUAACGAUGGCCACACUGUCUCCUCCAGAGACUCAGCGAAGUUGAAAUGUUUGUGAUGAUGCAAUCUCCCCGCGGAAAGACGGAAAGACCCCAUGAACCUUUACUGUAGCUUUACAUUGGACUUUGAACAGAUCUGUGUAGGAUAGGUGGGAGGCUUUGAAGCGGUGCCGCUAGGUGCCGUGGAGCCAACGUUGAAAUACCACCCUGGUGUGUUUGAGGUUCUAACCUUGGCCCGUGAUCCGGGUUGGGGACAGUGUAUGGUGGGCAGUUUGACUGGGGCGGUCUCCUCCCAAAGCGUAACGGAGGAGUUCGAAGGUACGCUAGGCACGGUCGGAAAUCGUGCUGAUAGUGCAUUGGCAUAAGCGUGCUUGACUGCGAGACUGACAAGUCGAGCAGGUACGAAAGUAGGACAAAGUGAUCCGGUGGUUCUGUAUGGAAGGGCCAUCGCUCAACGGAUAAAAGGUACUCUGGGGAUAACAGGCUGAUACCGCCCAAGAGUUCAUAUCGACGGCGGUGUUUGGCACCUCGAUGUCGGCUCAUCUCAUCCUGGGGCUGUAGCCGGUCCCAAGGGUAUGGCUGUUCGCCAUUUAAAGAGGUACGUGAGCUGGGUUUAAAACGUCGUGAGACAGUUUGGUCCCUAUCU
rnacentral:rRNA from 1 species